rnacentral:rRNA from 1 species
GACGAACGCUGGCGGCGUGCUUAACACAUGCAAGUCGAACGGAAAGGCCCUGCUUUUGUGGGGUGCUCGAGUGGCGAACGGGUGAGUAACACGUGAGUAACCUGCCCUUGACUUUGGGAUAACUUCAGGAAACUGGGGCUAAUACCGGAUAGGAGCUCCUGCUGCAUGGUGGGGGUUGGAAAGUUUCGGCGGUUGGGGAUGGACUCGCGGCUUAUCAGCUUGUUGGUGGGGUAGUGGCUUACCAAGGCUUUGACGGGUAGCCGGCCUGAGAGGGUGACCGGCCACCUUGGGACUACGGUACGGCCCAGACUCCUACGGGAGGCAGCAGUGGGGAAUAUUGCACAAUGGGCGGACGCCUGAUGCAGAAACGCCGCGUGCGGGAUGACGGCCUUCGGGUUGUAAACCGCUUUCGCCUGUGACGAAGCGUGAGUGACGGUAAUGGGUAAAGAAGCACCGGCUAACUACGUG